AUUGAACGCUGGCGGCAUGCCUUACACAUGCAAGUCGAACGGCAGCGGACCUUCGGGUGCCGGCGAGUGGCGAACGGGUGAGUAAUAUAUCGGAACGUACCUUUCAGUGGGGGAUAACGUAGCGAAAGUUACGCUAAUACCGCAUAUUCUGUGAGCAGGAAAGCAGGGGAUCGCAAGACCUUGCGCUGAUUGAGCGGCCGAUAUCAGAUUAGCUAGUUGGUGAGGUAAAGGCUCACCAAGGCGACGAUCUGUAGCGGGUCUGAGAGGAUGAUCCGCCACACUGGAACUGAGACACGGUCCAGACUCCUACGGGAGGCAGCAGUGGGGAAUUUUGGACAAUGGGGGCAACCCUGAUCCAGCCAUGCCGCGUGAGUGAAGAAGGCCUCGGUU
rnacentral:rRNA from 1 species